rnacentral:rRNA from 1 species
AUGGCGAACGGCUGCGGUACAAAGCUCACAUGGAUCUUUGCGCUGCUUCUCAUCCUGGUCAUGGCAAUUCAAGUCCGAGCCCAACCUCCUCCUGGGUUCAUAAACAUCGAUUGUGGAUUGAAAAACUUCAGUGCCUACCCUGACGCCAACUUAAAUCUACGGUACAGUUCUGACGAUGAAUUUGUCGAGAGCGGUGAGAAACACGAGGUUUUACCCGAGUUCAUGGCUAGCACAGCAGAUGAUAACCAAAACACCCUGAGGAGCUUCCCUGAUGGUUCAAGGAAUUGUUAUACACUGCCAUCCACCCCCGGUAAGAAGUAUCUGUUGAGGGCCAUAUUUACUUAUGGCAACUAUGAUAGGUUGAACAAGACUCAGGACGGGUCCCUGUUUCGGUUUGGGCUCUAUAUCGGCGUCAAUUUCUGGGAUUCGGUGGACUUGUCAAAUUCUCCUACAGAUAAAGCGGUAUGGAAGGAGGUGCUCACCGUUGCUACAGGCAGCUCCGUGUCCGUUUGCCUGGUAAACUUCGGUUCCGGGACUCCUUUCAUAUCUUCUUUGGAGCUGAGGCCACUACUAGAUACCAUGUACCCUUUUGUCAAUACUUCUGUGUCAGUCAGCUACUUUAUUCGAUUCAGAUUUGGCAACAUCACCGACUAUGUCACAAGAUACCCAACGGAUAAUUAUGACCGUUUCUGGGAAAGCUAUUCUGGGAAAAGGACGGAAGUCCAGCACUACCCCUAUAUCAGCCUGAACACCAGCAAUAACUUGGAGAACCUCCCAGGCAACAACGACUUCAGGGUGCCAUCCGCCAUCUUGCAGAAUGCCAUGAGCAUAGACGCAAACAAUUCCUCCAUAAUAAUCAGCGAGUCAUCGGGAGCCAAUAAAGACCCUCAAACCCUACAGAUUCUCUCGAUCUUUCACUUCACCGAGCUAAACGGGAGCAACCCGAACAGGAGGUUCAAUAUUUACAGCGCCGGCGAAGGGCUGUUCCCAGGUUUUUCUCCGUCACGAUUAAAGGUGGACAGCAUGUACAAGAGCGGGCUUUUCGCGCAGAAGGGCGACGCAUACUUCAUCUUAAACAAGACGGCCGGCUCGAGUCUUCCGCCACUCAUCAACGCGUUGGAGUUGUACGCGCUUGUUUUGAUGAAGAAUCUCACCACCGACUCUGAUGAUGUAAAGUACAUGAAAGACGUCAAGGCACAAUACAAUUUGGCACGGACAAGCUGGAAUGGAGAUCCAUGCUCCCCAGUAGAGUAUUCCUGGAAAGGAUUGACUUGUGACUACUCUAAGAGCAAUCAGAUUCCGAGGAUUGUAACGGUCAAUCUUUCUAGCAGUGGACUAGGUGGUGGACUUGCCAUAUCAUUCAUGAACAUGACAUCAUUACAGAACUUGGAUUUAUCACACAACAAUCUGACGGGAGCUAUUCCAGACUAUCAACUAAAGUCACUUAAAGUUCUUAACUUGUCAAAUAACAAGCUAGAUGGACCAAUCCCUGAUUCUAUUCUUCAACGAGUCCAGGCCGGUCAGCUGGACUUAAGAUUAGAAGGCAAUCCUAUAUGCUCAAACAAAAAAGAUACAUACUGCUUAAAUAAGACGAAGAAGAGGAAAACCACAACUAUCUUGCUCAUCGCAGUGAUAGUUCCCGUGGUACUGAUAUCACUUGUAGUAGGAGUGUGCAUACUCUGGAAGUUAUUUUGGAAAGAGAAGUCAACAUACAAUGAGGAUUAUGCUAUGUAUGAAGAGGAAACUCCCCUACAUAUUGACAUCAGACGGUUCGCAUACGCGGAGUUGAAGCUCAUAACAAAAAACUUCCAAAGAAUCGUUGGAAAAGGAGGCUUUGGUAUUGUUUAUCAUGGCAUACUAGAAAAUGGUGAUGAGGUAGCUGUUAAAGUGCUCAUGGAGACAUCAAUAGCAGAGUCAACGGACUUCCUCCCUGAGGUGCAAACCUUGUCCAAAGUUCAUCAUAAGAAUCUCGUGACUUUAAAAGGAUAUUGCCAGAACAAGAAGUGCCUAGCACUCGUUUAUGACUUCAUGCCUGGUGGAAAUCUUCAACAACUUCUAAGAGGAGGAGACAUAUGUAGUUUGAAUUGGGAACAACGACUUCAUAUUGCACUUGAUGCUGCACAAGGAUUAGAGUAUCUACAUGAGUUAUGCACACCGUCAAUAGUGCACAGAGAUGUGAAGACCCCAAACAUUCUUCUGGACAAGAACCUGGUGGGAAUAAUAUCGGAUUUUGGGCUUUCGCGGGCUUUUAACGAUGCUCACACACACAUAUCAACUGUUGCUGCUGGCACUCUUGGCUACCUCGACCCUGAGUACCAUGCAACUUUCCAACUCACUGUCAAGACAGAUGUUUACAGCUUUGGCAUCGUCCUCUUGGAGAUCAUCACUGGCCAGCCCCCAGUAUUGAUGGAACCUCAAACCGCCCAUCUACCGAAUUGGGUGCGCCAAAAUAUAGCUAAGGGAAGCAUUCACGAUAUUGUAGACAAGAGGCUGUUGGAUCAGUAUGAUGUCAGUUCCGUUGAGAGUGCCGUAGACAUUGCCUUGAACUGCGUCGAAAAUGCUUCCAUCGACCGGCCGACCAUGACCGAGGUUGUUUCAAGGCUCAAAGUGUGGCUACCGGCGGUUUCAAGCGAAAAGCACUCUAUUUCCGGGAUUCCCCAGUCUAAGAAAUCCAUGGAUAUUGAAAUUCGAAAGCAGUUCGAGAUGAUGAUAUCUGGUGUCAGCAGUGACGAGAGCUCCUUCCAGUCCGGUCAUACUGGUGGGCUGCUGACAGGAGUAGGCACGUUUUCUGGACGGUGA